UUUCAGUACUAUCAACAAGAAUCAUCCAAACUGAGGUAGCAAAUCACAAACCUGCAAAACUCUAACAGGGAUCUUGUAUUGUGAAGCAAGAAGGCAUGUUUGGUGGGUCAAGCACUUGAAAUCAACUAUUUCCGAGUGAGAAACUAUUUGGAGUGUUAAUUCUUCAACUUAUGGAUAAAACGUGGGUAAACCUUACAUCAAGAGCAAGUGAAGAGUAUAUAAAUGGGGUCACCAAUUUCUUAGAUUUUGCCUUUGCCAAAUUAUCCGAAGAUGGUAA